rnacentral:rRNA from 1 species
CGACUGAGAGGUUGAACGGCCACAUUGGGACUGAGACACGGCCCAGACUCCUACGGGAGGCAGCAGUGGGGAAUAUUGCACAAUGGGGGAAACCCUGAUGCAGCGACGCCGCGUGGAGGAAGAAGGUCUUCGGAUUGUAAACUCCUGUUGUUGAGGAAGAUAAUGACGGUACUCAACAAGGAAGUGACGUCUAACUACGUGCCAGCAGCCGCGGUAAAACGUAGGUCACAAGCGUUGUCCGGAAUUACUGGGUGUAAAGGGAGCGCAGGCGGGAAGACAAGUUGGAAGUGAAAUCCAUGGGCUCAACCCAUGAACUGCUUUCAAAACUGUUUUUCUUGAGUAGUGCAGAGGUAGGCGGAAUUCCCGGUGUAGCGGUGGAAUGCGUAGAUAUCGGGAGGAACACCAGUGGCGAAGGCGGCCUACUGGGCACCAACUGACGCUGAGGCUCGAAAGUGUGGGUAGCAAACAGGAUUAGAUACCCUGGUAGUCCACACUGUAAACGAUGAUUACUAGGUGUUGGAGGAUUGACCCCUUUAGUGCCGCAGUUAACACAAUAAGUAAUCCACCUGGGGAGUACGACCGCAAGGUUGAAACUCAAAGGAAUUGACGGGGGCCCGCACAAGCAGUGGAGUAUGUGGUUUAAUUCGACGCAACGCGAAGAACCUUACCAAGUCUUGACAUCCUGCGACGCACAUAGAAAUAUGUGUUUCCUUCGGGACGCAGAGACAGGUGGUGCAUGGUUGUCGUCAGCUCGUGUCGUGAGAUGUUGGGUUAAGUCCCGCAACGAGCGCAACCCUUAUGGUCAGUUACUACGCAAGAGGACUCUGGCCAGACUGCCGUUGACAAAACGGAGGAAGGUGGGGAUGACGUCAAAUCAUCGUGCCCUUUAUGACUUGGGCUACACACGUACUACAAUGGCGUUAAACAAAGAGAAGCAAGACCGCGAGGUGGAGCAACUCAGAAACAACGUCCCAGUUCGGACUGCAGGCUGCAACUCGCCUGCACGAAGUCGGAAUUGCUAGUAAUCGCAGAUCAGCAUGCUGCGGUGAAUACGUUCCCGGGCCUUGUACACACCGCCCGUCACACCAUUAGAGCCGGGGGGACCCGAAGUCGGUAGUCUAACCGCAAGGAGGACGCCGCCGAAGGCAAAACUGGUGAUUGGGGUGAAGUCGGAACAAGGUAGCCGUAGGAGAACCUGCGGCUG